UACGUAGGGGGCAAGCGUUGUCCGGAAUCAUUGGGCGUAAAGCGCGCGUAGGCGGCCCGGUAAGUCCGCUGUAAAAGUCCAGGGCUCAACCCUGGAAAGCCGGUGGAUACUGUCGGGCUAGAGUCCGGAAGAGGCGAGUGGAAUUCCUGGUGUAGCGGUGGAAUGCGCAGAGAUCAGGAGGAACACCAAUUGCGAAGGCAGCUCGCUGGGACGUUACUGACGCUGAUGCGCGAAAGCGUGGGGAGCAAACAGG
rnacentral:rRNA from 1 species